ACUUCGCAAAGGGUCUAGUCAAUUUUCAGUUGAAUUUGAUCGUUCUACAAUGACGGGCUCGUUGUUUGCGAUCUGUGGUUAUCUGGUACUUGUCUUAAAUGGAUGGAUAACUUGUACGUCUGACAACAAACGGUUGGUUCUGCACAGUGACGUAGAUAUUGCUGCAGCUAUUCAGACGCUGACUGCACGGCUUGAAUCAAUGUCAACAGAAAUGGGGCAUAUGGCAUCGGAGCUACAGACUCUAAAUGCACAGAAUUAUCAACUGGCAUCGGAAGUUCAGACUCUGAAAACGACAUCGUAUGGUGGUUCGGUGUACACCAGAUGGGGGCGAAGCGCAUGCAGCCAAAACGGAUCGGAACUGAUUUACGCGGGGUAGUGUUAUACUGUUUCUCCACACAUCUGAACAAGGAUGUUAUACCGUUUACAGUCGGCUCGAGACCCGUGAACUGAGCGGUGUCAUUGAGGUCGAUUUCCGUUGCACAUGGAACACAUACGGGCGUCAGAAGAAUUUUUUUUUUGCAUUUAUAUGUCGAAAGUUUUGUCAAAUACAAGCACUCACUCCUA